rnacentral:rRNA from 1 species
GAUGAACGCUGGCGGCGUGCCUAAUACAUGCAAGUCGAGCGAACAGACGAGGAGCUUGCUCCUCUGACGUUACCGGCGGACGGGUGAGUAGCACGUAGAUAACCUACCUAUAAGACAUAGAUAACUUCGGGAAACCGUAGCUAAUACCAGAUGAGAUAUUGAACCGCAUGGUUCAAUAAUGAUAGACGGUUUUGCUGUCACUUCUAGAUGGAUCCGCGCGUCUUUAGCGAGUUGGUAAGGUAACGGCUUACCAAGGCAACGAUGCGCAGCCGACCUGAGAGGGGGGUCGGCCACAUUGGAAGUGAGACACCGUCCCGGCUACUACGGGACGCAGCAGUCGGGAACGGUCCGCAGUGGGCGGAAACAUGACGGAGCAGAGCAAAGUCAGUGACAGCGAUCCUCCGUUCGUAAAAAUCUGUUUUUAGGGAUGAACAACUGUGUAAGUAAAAAUGCACAUCUUGACGGUACCUAAUCAGAAAGCCCCGGCUAACUACGUG